AACGCAUCUUGCGCUCCUUGGUAUUCCGAGGAGCAUGCCUGUUUGAGUGUCGUUAAUAUCUCAACCGCACCAUUGGGGGUGUGGCUUGGAUUUGGGGGUUAUGCAGGCUCUGGCUUGUAGUCUGCUCCCCUGAAAUGCAUGAGUGGUUGAACCCUCUGUUAGGUGUGAUAAUUAUCUGCAUCUGAUGGAAAGGUCAUGGCUGCUUAUAUGUCGUCGGAUUUGAUAAACUUGACCUCAAAUCAGGUAGGACCACCCGCUGAACUUAA
rnacentral:misc_RNA from 2 species